GUAUCUCGCCUAUAGCCAACAAAAAGGUAUGAGCACAAACAACUUUGGCUGCCUCCAUUGACCGAGGUCAAAGUCACAUCAACGCCUCUAGGGCUAAUUUUAAUCUCAAAAGGUGCCGUGUAUCUCAUAAUCAAAUUCCGGGAUGACGGCUUAUGAUAACUCGAACACUCAGCUUGUGUUACCAUUUGUCCGCACGAGCAUUCCAACUUGCCACCAGCAGGCCGACAAAUUUGCUUUCAUUUGUCUUUGAAAUACGCAAGCUGCUCGUUUGUACAUUUAAUUUGGCCAAUGUUCGGGGCCUCCGAAGAGUUGCGAUGAAGCUCGCGGCUGUGGGCCGCGUUGCUGAAGCCGCUAGCGCUUAGGGAAUAAACAUCACAGACAGCACCGGACUUCACCCAGCUUGCGUUACCAUUUUCCCGCAGGGGCAUUCCGACUUGCGGUCUGCCGCACUGUCGAUGCGGCAUGCACCCGGGAUGGACGCGAUUCGCGUGGCGCCCGCAGGCGGUGCUGACGAUUCCGCGGGUGCAAGCAUAGCUCCCACAGCAUCCGCACUGCUGCAACAAGCACACCUCCCACCACGUUGACGCUACCCAUCAAUUGUCACACGUGCCGCCCUAGCUACCGGCCUGUACGGAUCCCACCCUUUUUCCGGCUUCGAGGAAGCCGACAACCGACUUGUCACCGCAACUCUCCCCAUCCCCGCGAUCAUCGAAGGCCACAAUCGGUGCGCGCAUGAGGUCUUGUGUCGUGUGCUCCUCGAUGUGUGCAAGAAGCUUCUCGAUACAUUGCAUUCUUCGUCUGGUUGUGGUGCUGACAGGCUUCCGGGGCGGCCAUAUUGCCGUCGUCCACGCGGCAAAGUAUCUGGCUCGUAUCUGGACAGCGAUGCGAUUGAGAGGAUCUGCGUGGACGGGGUGACGAGGCCGGCAUUCAAAGCCGAAAUCCUUUGUCUUGCUCAGCCAUUAGCCGCAACGUCAUUCGACCUUUUAUAGAUAUCGAUUAUGUACAGGCAUGCAUACUGGAAGAUGCUUCAAGCUGGUGCCGGGCCAACCGCCCAUAUGCGGACUCGACGGCGAAGGCUCCUCACGCAAGCUUAGGGUACGCAAGCUUAGAACAAUAUAGGGUUAAUAGAAUGAAGUAGGUAAUGACAGGAGGACUCUAUUCCGGCAAAGUGCCUUGCUGCAAGCACGUCUUGUUUUAAGGAGCAGCACUUUACAUUGAUAUGUCGAGUAAAUUUACUCCCCCACUGGCUCCUUCCCCCACCGCAUUAUCGCGUCGGAACACCAAAGGACCAUGACCUGUUGAAAGCACCGUACGGGACGACAAUUGGUAACGAUGCGGGCGUGGGGGGAUGUAAGAUACGUUUCCAGCAAUUAGAAAAUUUCCCAUGCUAGUGAGCAUUUUAGAAGAGAGGGUUUCAUGCCUUACUACCGUGAUGGAGUACUAAUUCUUGUAAUGGCUAAACACAAAUCGCCGUGAAGACCUUUACUUAAUGCAGCCGCUACAGAAGGGUUACUGAUCGUAGUUGCUUGCCUGACCGGGCGCAUUGUAGCGGAAUGGUGGAAGCAUGUGUCAUGUACUGCUCGCGUUGCAGGCUUUCGUGCCCAAUACGAAAUAAUGCUAUUGUGCUGCGUUAUUGUUGAUAUGCGGAAUGAGCUGUAUCCAUUAUGUCCAACUGAGAAUCGGAACAGGUGUUAAAGGGCGACGGUAACUAGGGGGGAAACGAUAGAAGAUAGUUUUGGGGAGCCUCUUCGAACGACUUUGUCCAGGAUAAUUAAGGUUACUCGCAUAAUUGCACUCCAUGGGUGGGAUUGCGAGCUGCCUAUCCACUGGACAUACCCGAGCGGAAGAGCCUGUAUUUGCAAGCAAACAUGCUGGAGGAGCUUUGGUGUGUAGCGAGACUAACGAGGCCGUGGAUCAAGACAAAGCAAAGGCCACAGCCUCAGCUCGCCAUGCGUCAACG
rnacentral:lncRNA from 1 species